rnacentral:rRNA from 1 species
GAAUCAGUACGCUGGUCGUGCCUUCGGUAUGUACUGGUGUCACUGGUUUCUCCCUUCUGAAGAACCAUCAUGCCAUUCACUUGGUGUGGUGGGAAAUCAGGACUGUUACUUUGAAAAAAUUAGAGUGUUCAAAGCAGGCGUAACCUUGCCAUUGAAUAUUACAGCAUGGGAUAAUAGAAU